UCCCUGGUGGUCCAGUGGCUAAGACUCCACAUUCUUGAUGCAGAGAACCCAGGUUCAAUCCCUGGUCAGGGAA
rfam:Ovis aries breed Texel chromosome 1, whole genome shotgun sequence.